rnacentral:rRNA from 1 species
UACGUAGGUGGCAAGCGUUAUCCGGAAUUAUUGGGCGUAAAGAGCGCGCAGGUGGUUAAUUAAGUCUGAUGUGAAAGCCCACGGCUUAACCGUGGAGGGUCAUUGGAAACUGGUUGACUUGAGUGCAGAAGAGGGAAGUGGAAUUCCAUGUGUAGCGGUGAAAUGCGUAGAGAUAUGGAGAAACACCAGUGGCGAAGGCGGCUUCCUGGUCUGCAACUGACACUGAGGCGCGAAAGCGUGGGGAGCAAACAGG